ensembl:lncRNA
GUAACAGACAACAUGACUCUCCAGACCCAAGAAGGAAAGCAGUGCAGUGAAGUGCUGGUGCAGGAAAUAAACAGAAGGCAAGGAGAGAAGAGAUAACUGGAGAGAGAGAGGGAGAUAACUGGAGAGAGAGAGUGAGAUGACUGGAGAGAGAGAGGGAGAUAACUGGAGAGAGAGAGUGAGAUGACUGGAGAGAGGGAGAUGACUGGAGAGAGAGAGGGAGAUGACUGGAGAGAGAGAAGGAGAUGACUGGAGAGAGAGAGGGAGAUGACUGGAGAGAG